UGGGGAAUAUUGGACAAUGGGGGGAACCCUGAUCCAGCCAUGCCGCGUGUGUGAAGAAGGCCUUAUGGUUGUAAAGCACUUUAAGCGAGGAGGAGGGUACUGGUAUUAAUACUACCGGCUACUGGACGUUACUCGCAGAAUAAGCACCGGCUAACUCUGUGCCAGCAGCCGCGGUAAUACAGAGGGUGCGAGCGUUAAUCGGAUUUACUGGGCGUAAAGCGUGCGUAGGCGGCUAAUUGAGUCGGAUGUGAAAUCCCCGAGCUUAACUUGGGAAUUGCAUUCGAUACUGGUUAGCUAGAGUGUGGGAGAGGAUGGUAGAAUUCCAGGUGUAGCGGUGAAAUGCGUAGAGAUCUGGAGGAAUACCGAUGGCGAAGGCAGCCAUCUGGCCUAACACUGACGCUGAGGUACGAAAGCAUGGGGAGCAAACAGG
rnacentral:rRNA from 1 species